AGCGAACGCUGGCGGCAGGCCUAACACAUGCAAGUCGAACGGAUCCUUCGGGAUUAGUGGCGGACGGGUGAGUAACACGUGGGAACGUGCCUUUUGGUUCGGAACAACGCAGAGAAAUUUGCGCUAAUACCGAAUGUGCCCUUCGGGGGAAAGAUUUAUCGCCAUUAGAGCGGCCCGCGUCUGAUUAGCUAGUUGGUGAGGUAAAGGCUCACCAAGGCUACGAUCAGUAGCUGGUCUGAGAGGAUGAUCAGCCACAUUGGGACUGAGACACGGCCCAAACUCCUACGGGAGGCAGCAGUGGGGAAUCUUGCGCAAAUGGGCGAAAGCCUGACGCAGCCAUGCCGCGUGAAUGAUGAAGGUCUUAGGAUUGUAAAAUUCUUUCACCGGGGACGAUAAUGACGGUACCCGGAGAAGAAGCCCCGGCUAACUUCGUGCCAGCAGCCGCGGUAAU
rnacentral:rRNA from 1 species